rnacentral:rRNA from 1 species
AGCGAACGCUGGCGGCAGGCUUAACACAUGCAAGUCGAGCGGGCCCUUCGGGGUCAGCGGCGGACGGGUGAGUAACGCGUGGGAACGUGCCUUCUGGUUCGGAAUAACUCAGGGAAACUUGAGCUAAUACCGGAUACGCCCUUUUGGGGAAAGGUUUACUGCCGGAAGAUCGGCCCGCGUCUGAUUAGCUAGUUGGUGGGGUAACGGCCUACCAAGGCGACGAUCAGUAGCUGGUCUGAGAGGAUGAUCAGCCACACUGGGACUGAGACACGGCCCAGAAUCCUACGGGAGGCAGCAGUGGGGAAUAUUGGACAAUGGGCGCAAGCCUGAUCCAGCCAUGCCGCGUGAGUGAUGAAGGCCUUAGGGUUGUAAAGCUCUUUUAUCCGGGACGAUAAUGACGGUACCGGAGGAAUAAGCCCCGGCUAACUUCGUG